UAUAAUUUUAACUAACUUAAGUGGUUAAAAGUCGAACAAUAAAAAUGAAUGUGGUUUUGGGAUUAUUAACAUGUAUAGGUCAGAUAUUAGCAAUGCCGACAACUCAUGAGAGUUUUAAUAAUAAGAAUCUUGUUCAUGCUAUACUUAGAUUUCAAGAGAGCCGUCAUCCAAGAACAGAUGAGCUAGUUAAAAGGAUGAGUAAUUUUUUGUCGUUUUUUGAUCAGAAUAAAAGCGGUAAAAUAAGUCUUAAAGUUUUUUUAGCUCUUGCAAGGUAUUUAGGUCAAGACACAACACACUUGUCAAAAUCUGGAUUAAGUAUGGAUUCAAUGAUUAAUAUUAACACUCUCGUAGAGAUGACUACUUAUCCAAUGAAAAUGGUAGAAGAAAAGUUGUUAGAGAGUUUUAGACAAUUUGACACAGAAAUAAGUGGUUACAUCAGUUUACCUCACAUGCGUAGCUCAUUAAAUAGUGUCGGAAUUGAUGAUAAGUAUAUAUCAAUUAUACUUUUGAAGCUUGAUUUUACAGACGAAAAACAAAAAAUUAAUUAUUCAGGUAGAGAGAAACAAAUAAUUUAUGUGUUGUAUAAAUAGCAUAUUUAGAAAAAUAAAGUGAAUAUAUCACAAGAGAAAAAAUUGAAGAGCUCAGUGUGUUAGCUAAACUUUUUGGAUUUGCUGAUAACUUUUUAAGAAUUUUUGAAGAUUUGGUUCUAAUUUUAAGCUUACAAGUUGAUAAUAUAAUAUUUUUUUUAAAUAAUUUGAUGGUUAAAUAUAUAAUUAGAGUCAUAUUUAUAUGAUUAUAACAAUUAUUGUUUUUAUAUGUUAUUUUAAAUUAUAAAUAAAGAUAGUAAAAAUUUGUUUAACUUAAGCGUCAAUGUGUUGCUGAGAGAAUAUUGGUUUUACAAAGUCAUGCUUUUUUUGUUCAUUCAUAUGAAUACAUUACUUCUAUAGGAUUAAUUUUGCCCAACUAUACGGCAAAAUACAAAAGAUCGCAUCUAUCUGAAGCAAUAAUUCAGAAAAAUUCUCCCCCAUUUCUAUAAUAAAAGGAAAUGUCCUAAAAAAUACUAUUGUUAUAAAAUAGUUACUAUUUAUAUUUUCAGUUUGUAUUUUAUAUUGAAGUAUCUUUUUGAAAACUAGACAGAUUAUCAUGAAAUAUUAUUGACAAUAUUUUAGACAUUUAUCAUGUUGACGACAUACUUUUUAUGGAAAUCCAAACAUUAACCCAAUUACUGAGCGGGGU